GAUGAACGCUGGCGGCGUGCCUAAUACAUGCAAGUCGAGCGAACAGACGAGGAGCUUGCUCCUCUGACGUUAGCGGCGGACGGGUGAAUAACACGUGGAUAACCUACCUAUAAGACUGGGAUAACUUCGGGAAACCGGAGCUAGUACCGGAUAAUAUAUUGAACCGCAUGGUUCAAUAGUGAAAGACGGUUUUGCUGUCACUUAUAGAUGGAUCCGCGCCGCAUUAGCUAGUUGGUAAGGUAACGGCUUACCAAGGCAACGAUGCGUAGCCGACCUGAGAGGGUGAUCGGCCACACUGGAACUGAGACACGGUCCAGACUCCUACGGGAGGCAGCAGUAGGGAAUCUUCCGCAAUGGGCGAAAGCCUGACGGAGCAACGCCGCGUGAGUGAUGAAGGUCUUCGGAUCGUAAAACUCUGUUAUUAGGGAAGAACAAAUGUGUAAGUAACUAUGCACGUCUUGACGGUACCUAAUCAGAAAGCCACGGCUAACUACGUG
rnacentral:rRNA from 1 species